rnacentral:lncRNA from 1 species
CAUGAAACAAAAGCGAGACAUUUUCAAGGACAGGAAAAUGCUUUCAGUUCAGCUCGUAGCGUGUUCUCACAGCUGCAAUACUUCACUCAGGGAUCAUUUAUUUGUGGGAGAAUCUGUGCACUGACAUCUGUGCAGGAUGAAAAUAAGGAGGUUAUAAUUUUCUCCCACCUCUGGAAAGCGUUGCCAUGACGGUUUAGGAUUAGAAAUGGAGAAAAAGAAGACAUCUAUUCUCCUGUUUGUCCAGUUUCUGUUUAAUCUGUGUAACGUCCAACAUCAUGCGUGUCCCAGCCACUCCAGCAAAGACCUCAGCUGCUAUAAUGACUUCAAUCAUACUAUCGACUGUGUUUGGAUCAGCUCUGAUUCCUUUGAUUCGGCCAACAAUGAGUGCGAGAUAUUGGCAGAAUAUUCCCACCCUAAUUACAGGUGAGGAUUCAAUCCAAAAAGAAAGUAUUUUAUUUCACUGUCACUGUUGACAGAAAUAUAACGUGUGCAUUUUCUAUCCAAUGGCAGCCCAUUCAAAGCUUCCUGUGACCUCAAGUCACUUUCUGUUACCACAUCAACAGUAAAGAACUGCUCCCUGAUCUUCGACAC